rnacentral:misc_RNA from 1 species
GAUGAAGAACGCAGCGAAAUGCGAUAAGUAAUGUGAAUUGCAGAAUUCAGUGAAUCAUCGAAUCUUUGAACGCACAUUGCGCCCGCCAGUAUUCUGGCGGGCAUGCCUGUUCGAGCGUCAUUUCAACCCUCAGGCCCCGCCUGGCGUUGGGGAUCGGCGCGGCCCUCUCCGGGCUGCCGGCCCCGAAAACUAGUGGCGGUCUCGCUGUAGUCCUCCUCUGCGCAGUAGCAACGCUCGCACUGGAACUCGGAGCGGCCACGCCGUAAAACACCCCACUUCUGAAAGUUGACCUCGGAUCAGGUAGGAAUACCCGCUGAACUUAAGCAUAUCAAUAAGCGGAGGA